GUCUCGAUCGAAGUUUUGUUUACAUGUGCAGGAUUAACUACGAUAAAAGUAAGACAUGCAGUAGGAGUUGCGUCGGAGUCAAGACAAUGAUCACAUUGGGAGUUCGAGAGUUCGACGGAAGUUCGGACAAUCAUCGGAGGUUCUACGGGAACAAAUCCGAGAAGUCCAUAAGCUUGCCAAAGAAGCUCAUCGGAACUCGCCAAGUGGAUCGUCGCAAGUCCAGGAGUUUGCCG
rnacentral:lncRNA from 1 species